GUGCCAGCAGCCGCGGUAAUACGAAGGGGGCUAGCGUUGUUCGGAAUUACUGGGCGUAAAGCGCACGUAGGCGGGUUGUUAAGUCAGGGGUGAAAUCCCGGAGCUCAACUCCGGAACUGCCUUUGAUACUGGCAAUCUAGAGACUGGAAGAGGUUAGUGGAAUUCCCAGUGUAGAGGUGAAAUUCGUAGAUAUUGGGAAGAACACCAGUGGCGAAGGCGGCUAACUGGUCCAGUACUGACGCUGAGGUGCGAAAGCGUGGGGAGCAAACAGGAUUAGAAACCCCUGUAGUCC
rnacentral:rRNA from 1 species